CUUUGAUAUUUAUUUCAGGCAUCUUGAACUUGGGGCCCUUUAGUUUCGCAUCUGGACCUUCGAUAUUCACAUCAGGAACAUCAACGUCCACUUUGGGUCCUGAGACAUCAAUGUCAGCCUUGGGCAGGUUCACAUCCACAUCUGGGCCCUCUCCUUUGAAGCCAGGCAUGCUGAACUUGGGCAUUUUCACUUUGGGCAUUUUUAAGUGCCAGUCUGGGCCUUGAACGUCCACAUCUGGGACAUCAAUGUCCACUUUGGGUCCUGAGACAUCAAUGUCAGCCUUGGGCAGGUUCACAUCCACAUCUGGGCCCUCUCCUUUGAAGCCAGGCAUGCUGAACUUGGGCAUUUUCACCUUGGGCAUCUUCAGGUGCCAGUCUGGGCCAUGAACCUCCACAUCUGGUGCAUUAAUAUCAACUUUGGGGCCUUUGAUGUCAACAUCAGGAGCUUUUAUCUCUCCU
rnacentral:lncRNA from 1 species